rnacentral:lncRNA from 1 species
CUAAUCCCAUGAGAGUUGGAGACAGUCUAUGAUAAUUACUGAUUCAGCUCCUGCUGGUGUUGAACUUACUGAGAAACUUAAACAAGAAUUAAAAUACACACCCACACACCCUCAGAUGGAGCCAAACACUAAACCAGAUUAGUCUUUCGUGGUCACCUUUUCUUCAGGAUUAGGAGGAUCAGAAAGCAAGAGCAGAUUCUGAAACACUGUAACCCCAUUCCCUACUGGGUCAUAAGAGGCUGGUGCUCUUGAGGACGAAGGUCGGCAGCAGGUGCCAACUAGGUACUGGCUUCUGGUCCCAGCAGAGCUGGCCUGCCACAGCCCAAGCGUCUUGUUUUGGUUAAAAAAUGAGUCUCUUGGCCUUUCAUGCCUGGGCGUUCUCCGGAACUCAGAUGUUUGUGAACCAGGUUCAGGGACUCUCAAGUUCAAGUCACUGGCAGAUUGGAGAAAAGACCUAGAAGUUCUAAGUGUCUGAGGUAAUGAGAGGAGGGACGCAAAGCCUCAUUCAAUGAGACUGCAAAGUCACCUGAAUGGGAAAGCUUGCCCUAUUGCUGGCCUCGGCAAUGGCACCUUCAGGUUGUCCCCUGUACGGGUUGAUGAGGGAGUGGAGGACCCCAGGUCCCUUCUUAAUGUCAGCCUUGGCCACAGGUUUCGAUGAAAUUUAGUAUGUUGAUUAGGAGCUGCCAAAAUCAGAGCAACUCCCCUCCCAAGGGGACGUUUAGUUUUCAGUUGUUAAAAAUACACCCUGAGACAGAAAUUUUGGGACACUUAAGUGACUUUGAAAUCCAUCCAAAGGUUACUCUGUUCCUUCACUCCACACAGCUCAGGCAUUUCCAUGUUGGUCUCAGCUGCCAUCUCAAUGGUUUAUUCUUUUUACAUGUUGGAGCAGAUCUGGACCUCCCAAAAUGUUUUGAGGAGAAGUGGGCUUAGAGGGGUUUUCCCUGCUCUGUGAGAGAAGGAAUUUAGCAAGGAUUAAUUUUUCUAAGAAGGUGGCACAAGUUUUGAUGUGAUUUGCUGGAAAAUAGUAAUAGUCACAAUUUAUCUUAUUCCCCCAAGAGAAUGGGAUGAUGUUCCCAUGGAACCUUGCUCAUCCUGCUAGCAAUAACUUGUAUUCUCUUUCUGAUUCACACAAACAAGGAUCAGAGGGUGAUGGUGGGGGAAAUGAUACCAGGAAAUACAGUUCGUUUUUUGCAGGGAUUCAGAAUGUGUUGCUGGACUUCAAGAUAGGAAGAAUCUUUGCCUUGAUGGCUGAUGACAGUAACCACCCCAUCUACCAUCAUCUAUUAAGGAUUUACUGUGUGGUCACUUUACAGUCAUCCAAGUAAAUUUUCAUAAUCACCUGAUUACAUGGGUACCGCUUUUCAGAAAAAGAAACAGAUUUCUGGAGGGAUUCAGAAUCCAUGGCUGGAAGAGGUAGUAAGGCCAUUGGGAGGGCAUGCCUCUCCUCAGCCCACCCCCACCCUGUGUGGGUCUCCAUUCUGAAAUUUCCAUUCAGAUGACCCGGUCCUAGGCAGGGACCAAAAUUCCUUGUCAGCUGAGGAAGUCCUGAAGAAACAUCCUGAAGAUGAUGACUGCACUGCCAUCGUGGGCAGAUGCAGCUUCCAUCUACCUGAGGGCUGAAGGGGAAAACCUUUCACACACGUGAGGAAGGCGCAGCUCUGUGGAAAGGUCACUAGAAUGGCAGCGGCAGCAAAUAGGGCUCCAAUGCACGUUUGCAGUUAACUGGGUCCAAGGAGAGCAUGGCCCUCCACAGCAAGUUUGCUCUAUAGAAUAAAGUCCUGAGCUUGUUUUUAUCACAGUUAGACAGAGAAUGGUCUCUUGUUUCUCAGUUAUCCAGGGAAGAACAGUGUAUAUUCUCUGUAGAUGAGUGUUGUCUAAUGUAGUGAUUAAUCUCUGCUAGUGUUAGGAAAGCUCCACUACUGUGUGUGUGUGUGCGUGCAUGCGCGUGCGCAUGUGCACAUACUGCAGUCUUGACUUUCCAAUUACAAAAUGCCUAAGUCAGGUCACAUUGUCUUCUUCCAGCCAGUUUCUAAGGCAGGCAAUGGAAACAGGAGCCGAUGCCAAAUGGUCUAGAGGCAGAAGGGCUGCAUGCUUUGCAGGGCCAGCCCCAAGGCUGCCUUCCAGAGCUGCACUUUCUCUGGGGACAGUAAACUCUCACCGCAGCUGCCAGCCCCCUGUGCUUGGCCAUGCCCCUCACAUGGACUUGGAAUCAGUGUCUCUCUUGCUGAUGAGCACCUCCAGGAGCCUCAGUUUCGCCUUUAUGUGCUUAUAUUCACUGUAUUCUUCAGCCAUAGGAGUGCGGUCUUCCUUCUGGACAUUUCUAAUGCAAAUAAAGGAAAAAGGGGUCUGAGGAUCAUUUUCUGUCUUUGCUAGAUACUAUUCAUCGGGCAAAUUAUCAUUGUUUAGAAACUUUGCAGUUUAUCAACUUGUAGAAUCAGUGUUGCCGAGUGGCCCUUGGUCUCAAGACUGGGGCUGGAUUUAGACAAGUAAUGAAAAUGUUUCACCCAGAAGGCAACAUGCAACUGAGUUUUUAUAUAGUUAAUCUGGCAUCCUGUAUGAUAAGAAGGCUAAGAAAUGCAGAAAUUCUCUCUGCUAAGUAUGAAUUCACAUUGAGCUCUCAUACACCAAAAUCUUUUAUUCAUACUUAAUGUUUUCUCAUUCUUAUAUAUUUCAUCUCGUGAAAUUUUAAAUUUUUAAUUAGCAACUGGUCCACAACUUAGUUUUUUUUUUUUUUUUUUUUUCCAAAAACAGAUAGUUAAUACUCCUACUUAUCAUAAAACUGUGUUAGAAUUCAGCAGCUGGAUUACAUAAUACUAUUAUAAUAAGCCUUUAUUAUUGAGUAACUUUACAUACAUAAUAUUUAUAUGCACAAGUAUUUGAGAGCUUAUAGGUCAAGCCCUGUGCUAAGUACUUUGUACCCAUGAUCUGAUAGAACCCUUAUAACACCUUGAUGAGAUGCAGCCAUUUUCUACACACUACACAUGAUGAAACCAGCACAGGAAAUCAGAUAACUUGCCUGCUCUUGGCCACCACGCGGUGCGCUGCUGCUUUGUGUUUUAUGGGAAAUUGCACAUGGCAAACAUUCAACCAUAGGCUUCCUGCCUUUAUUAUUAAAGGGCAAAUAUGGGUAAGGAGGAUAGCAUGGGGCUUGAUUUGUUCAAUGACCUAAAAAUAAACUGAUCUUAUUCAUACCCUGCCUUGUUCUAGGAAAGGAUUCUAGUGGCUUCUCAGCAGAGGGCAGGGCAAGGAACAGGUGCUCAGGAAUUGGAGCAUCUGGCACGCAGGCCCCCACUGCACUCUGAGGGGCUUCACUCUCCUCAGACACGAAGUCAUGGAACCAGAGCUUAUCUCCUAAGUCCCUCAUAGUUCUAAACUUUUUUGACAAUUAAGUUAACGUCCUCCAUUGACAUUUUCUUAAAACCUGGGUGGUUUGCGUAAUUCUACAUGUAUAAGAUAUCUGUGCAUAAUGUGACUUAGAAUAAUAUAAAAAAGGAUAAGCCAAAAAAUAGGCUUAGAUGAAAGACUGGAAAGAUACACGUCAAAACAUUAAUUCUGACUUGUCUUUGGUUAUUAUUGUUUUGGGAAUUACUACUUAAAUUUGCUUACCUAUAUUUUCUAAAUACUGUGCAAUGGGUGGGAAAUGAAAAGCAAGUGUUUAGGUAUAAAAAUAUAUGAGACAUAUCCAAAUCAGAGAUCCUAAAAGUAAAUUCAUACAAUAAUUGUUAAACUAAACUGAAAUACAAUAUAUUUUAAAUGACAAAGUUAAUUUUUAUGGUGCUUUCAUUUCCCCAAACUUUCAAGAAGUAUAAAAGAGGACUCAAGAGAAACAAUACUUACAUAGCUUCAGUAAUCUGGGUUAAAUCCAAUUUAAAAUGAUAAAACCUAACUCCAAUGUAAGAGAUGCAAAUCUGUUCCUGGUUCUUUCCUCAGGCUCCUACUGUGACUUUCGGUAAGAUUUUUGUGUGCUGUUGCUUGUAAACAUGAAAGACUAAAUUGUGCCUUAAAAUUCACUGGCGAGAGGCAGCCCAUCAACCAGGUAGAUUUACUGCUUUUCUUUUCUUUGUUUUUUUUGAGACGAAGUCUUGCUCUGUAGCCCAGGCUGCAGUGCAGUGGCGUGAUCUCGGCUCACUGCAACCUUGGCCUCCCGGGUUCAAGUGAUUCUCUUGCCUCAGCCUCGAGUAGCUGGGAUUACAGGCCUGUGCUACUGCACCCGGCUAAUUUUUUGUAUUUUUAGUAGAGAUGGGGUUUCACCAUGUUGGUCAGGCUGGUCUUGAACUCCUUACCUCAUGUAAUCCACCCUCCUUGACCUCCCAAAGUGCUAGGAUUACAGGCGUGAGCCACCACGCCUGGCCGACUUACUGAUUUUCAUACAUAUUUUUCAUUUAAACUUGGCAAUUAUCACCUUCAUUUUUGAAAUGAGCUUGAAAAUCAGUAAUACUUAGAUCUCUCUUUCCCUUGUUUCUCUAGCUCCUUUUAUUUAGAAAUGAAGUCUCACUCUAUUGCCCAGAAUAGAGUGCAGUAGCAGACCACAGCUCCCUGCAGCCUCAAACUCCUGGGUUCAAGCAAUCCUCCUGCCUUAGCCUCCCAAGUAGCUAGAGCUACAGGUGUGCCACUACGGCCGCUUGGCUAACCUCUAGCUUCUUAAGAAAAAAGCGUUGGUGCCACCACCAGCGGGAAACGCAGCUUCCUGCUGCUCAUUGUAGAUAAGAAUUUGAUGGGACAGGUUCAUUUCAUAAAUGUCAGCUGAAUCUGCAUUAGUCUUGGGCAUUACCCAAA